GUUCUGGCUUCUGCAGCACAUAUACUAAAAUUGAAAUGGUACAGAGAAGAUAAGCAUGGCCCUUGAGCAGGAAUGACACACAAAUUUGUGAAGUGUUCCAUAUUUCU
ensembl:snRNA U6 U6 spliceosomal RNA